ensembl:lncRNA
CAGAAGCUCUGUCUUGCGCUCAGACACUCUACCCAGACUUUGUUCCUGGCGGCACCAGAGAACUUCCCCAGCCCAGGGAGGAAUCUCUGAGGAUCACAGGUAUACGUCAGAAUAGACUUUUACCCAAGCAGGGCUAAGAACACAAAUGCCCUCAAACUACCUACCAGUGGCCAAAGCAAGAACACGUUCUGCCCAGGUAACCCACUGCUAACUGGCCAGCCUGCCAUUCCUGAGAGGAAGAUGAAAGACGCGUGGCAUAGGACCCCACCCCCAGACAAACCCAGUCAGAGUAGAACCCCUGGCGACCAGCAGGUGCACGAGUGAGUCCAUCCAAGAUGACCACCAGGCAAGUAGCCAAUCAAUAAGUGACUAUUGAUUUAACUCACUGCUUUGGGUGGCUUGUUUCACAGCAAUAACUGACUGACACACUAUCUGCUGGGGGCUUUUCCACUUUAUUAACCAAAUGACUGAAGGAGUAGAUAAAUAAUACAGUUCUCUAAAUCACUGGGUCUAUGAGUUGGAGAGGUCUUAACCAUGGGACUCUGUGCUUCUGAGUGUCUGAGGCUUAAGUGCCUGGAGCAGACGUUGAGCACAAUAUCUGUGGGAGAGCAGCAUGGUCCAUGCUGAAAGGUUCAUGCUAAUCUUUGCCCCAUCCCACAUUUCCCUUUGACCUUGAUGAGAGCAGCCCAGUGCCAGUCAGCUGAGUAUAAGG